GCAAACUUGGUCAUUUAGAGGAAGUAAAAGUCGUAACAAGGUUUCCGUAGGUGAACCUGCGGAAGGAUCAUUAAUGGAACAUGCGAGGACGCUCUGUUUAGAGGUCCAGCCUAUUCAAAUUUAACCCUGUGCACGCACUGCCCUUACAAAAAAAAAUAACAACACUUGUUUCAAAGAAUGUGAAAUUAAUAAUAAUAAUAAUAAAACUUUCGGCAACGGAUCUCUUGGCUCCCGCAUCGAUGAAGAACGCAGC
rnacentral:misc_RNA from 1 species